ACCGAGGGUGCAAGCGUUAAUCGGAAUUACUGGGCGUAAAGGGAGCGUAGGUGGCUCUAUAAGUCAGAUGUGAAAUCCCCGGGCUCAACCUGGGAACUGCAUCUGAAACUGUAGAGCUAGAGUAGGUGAGAGGGAGGUAGAAUUUCAGGUGUAGCGGUGAAAUGCGUAGAGAUCUGAAGGAAUACCGAUGGCGAAGGCAGCCUCCUGGCAUCAUACUGACACUGAGGCUCGAAAGCGUGGGUAGCAAACAGG
rnacentral:rRNA from 1 species